UAUCUGUCUCUUGGUAAGAGGAAGGAUUUUUACUCUCAGCAAGCCCAUUACAACAAGAGGGAUAAAAGUUUGUAUCAAGACAACCAGGGGUAAACAUACCGUUUACUAUUAUGACUAUGGGGCCAAGCCUCACUCUUUCAAAGUGGAGAACUAGGUACUGAAGGAAAUGCUAUUAUAAGAAGGCAUACACAUUACAAAUGUUUUGACUCUCCACCGCUUGAGAUCUUUUGUCAAACAAGUCAUUCGGCAAAUAUUUAAAGAAAAGGGAAUUCAGAGAACUUUUUCUGAGUCUUUUGCGUUCCUAGCACUGGAACACUUGGUCUAUGCUGACCUACCCUUAUACUCCAACUCAGAGCUUCAACAUGCGUACUUUGACACAAAGUAUAUGAUACUAAGUGUUACAACUAACAUGGUUCACAUAUCAAAAGCAUGGAUCCUUUCAUGCAUAGCAAAAUAUUCAUAAGCAUCACUCAUAUCAAUCAACAUAAACAUUAUACAUUCCAACACAUUCAUACAUAAACAUCAUACAUUCCAACACAUUCAUACAUAAACAUCAUACAUUCCAACACAUUCAUACAUAAACAUCAUACAUUCCAACACAUCCAUACAUAAGCCAACUAUGCUUCGAAAGGGUUCAACAUACUUUGUGUCUUCGACACUUGCUACAAUGUGCCUCGACACCUUACCCUUAUUCUCACCAACCAGGUGGUGAAAUUUGAAGAAUGAACCUAUCUUCAUGCCACCAACUAGGUGAUGAAAUGUACAACCCGUACUCUCCUUCA
rnacentral:lncRNA from 1 species